rnacentral:rRNA from 1 species
UGGGGAAUAUUGCACAAUGGGCGAAAGCCUGAUGCAGCGACGCCGCGUGAGGGAUGACGGCCUUCGGGUUGUAAACCUCUUUCAGCCGGGACGAAGCGCAAGUGACGGUACCUGCAGAAGAAGCACCGGCUAACUACGUGCCAGCAGCCGCGGUAAUACGUAGGGUGCAAGCGUUGUCCGGAAUUACUGGGCGUAAAGAGUUCGUAGGCGGUUUGUCGCGUCGUUUGUGAAAACCAGCAGCUCAACUGCUGGCUUGCAGGCGAUACGGGCAGACUUGAGUACUGCAGGGGAGACUGGAAUUCCUGGUGUAGCGGUGAAAUGCGCAGAUAUCAGGAGGAACACCGGUGGCGAAGGCGGGUCUCUGGGCAGUAACUGACGCUGAGGAACGAAAGCGUGGGUAGCGAACAGG